UCUGAAGCCUUUGCUUUCCCUUCCCACCCGUACUGUAGCUGCGCGACCCCAGGGCUCAGCACAUGGGCCUGAAAGGUCACAUAUCCACCUCUGCUUCCCAGAGUCUGGUCCUGCUGGAGGGUGCUGUGGGCCGCCAGGCUGACAGGGUGCAGCUGUCAGUGUCCCGGGCCCUGCGCUGUCCAAAGGUCUCCUUGGUCCACAACAGGAGGAGAAGAGACAAGCGCGUGGUGCUGCGGGCAUGUGCCCACAGGUGGGCAGUCAAGGUGGAGGCUCUGCUCCAGGGUAGUGGGCAGCCUGUGCAGCACCUGGGCCACCUCAGCCUGCAGGCUGCCAACCAGUCUCCUCCUGGCUGCCCAAGGCUGCUCAGGGACCCUGCUGGGCCAUGUGGAGUCCAGGAUUGCUGCCAUGGGAUCGCGAGUGUGGGCCCUGCUGGAGGAGGAGAUCCAUGGCAUGGCCACCUACCUGAGAAGGGUCCAGCUCCUGCCAGUAAGGGCCACGGAUGACGUGGUGGGCCACCUGCUGCAGCUAUCCCAGGCAGGACUGGAGGCUGUGCAGGUGAGUGGUCAGGGGGGCAGCAGCCACAUGGGCUGGGAGCCAGGCCCUGCAGGUGCUGACGUGGGACCUGCCCCUCUACCUGGAAUGGCUGCAGGGGGCGCUGGAGCAGCUGCGGCUAGAGCUGAACCGUGAGUGUGGGGGCAGCUGCAGUUCCGGCCACAGAACUUGGCGAGGCUCACUGCUAUGGGACUCCAGGGCGGGUUCCCGGCUCUGCAGGGCGCCUUGUGUGGCCAUGGGCUUGGGAGGGCCUCCCAUCCUGGGCCAUAGCCAGCUGUGACACCCCCUCCACCCCCAGAGCGCUCCUGCUGGGGCUGCAAACCUACUUUCUCUACUACCCAGGGGCCCAAGGCUGAGCCCUGGCCCAGCUGGGAACUAAGCUCAGAGGAGAUGCCCACCCCCCAACCCUCGCCCUUCCCUGGCCAGGUCAGACGAGUGACAACACCUUUAUCCCUGGUGGUGGUGGCUGACCAGGAGCCUGUCCUGUGGUACUGCAGCUAGGACUUGCUG